AUGGAGAAGAUUGUAACGCAACAUUGCCGCUCGUUACUUACGGGCAAAAGGGGCGAACGAUCGGCGUCAUCCUUCCGAAGGAAAAUAGUGGCAAAACAUCUAUUAACGGCCAGCGCUGAGAUUGCCUUGUACUUGGACAUUAAAUUGCUGAGAGUCUGUGCCAAAGAGCCCAACAAUAGUGGGAAUAUCUCGCUGUUUGCUUAAUGAGCAAUGAAUGGAAGUGUGAAGGUGAAAAGACAGAUUCUGGGUGAGGGAGUGACAAGGUGAGACUGCUUCUUUAUCACACCUUUUUCUUUUUCAUUUUCAAAGCAGUAAAAAAUAAUAAAAAUAAAAGCUGUGGCUGGGAAUUGCUCCGU
rnacentral:lncRNA from 1 species